CAGCCGCCGCGGGAACACGAAGGGUGCAAGCGUUAAUCGGAAUUACUGGGCGUAAAGCGUGCGCAGGCGGUUUGUUAAGACAGAUGUGAAAUCCCCGGGCUCAACCUGGGAACUGCAUUUGUGACUGGCAGGCUAGAGUAUGGCAGAGGGGGGUGGAAUUCCGCGUGUAGCAGUGAAAUGCGUAGAUAUGCGGAGGAACACCGAUGGCGAAGGCAGCCCCCUGGGCCAAUACUGACGCUCAUGCACGAAAGCGUGGGGAGCAAACAGGAUUAGAUACCCCAGUAGUCCCUGUCUCUUAUAC
rnacentral:rRNA from 1 species